GUAUUGUGAAUGAAAGGUGAAAAGAAUUCCGAAAGGUAGGUGAAAAAGAACUAGGAACCAAACGUGUGCUUCUGUGCCACAAAGAUAACUGCUUGUGGAAGAAAGAAUUGUCGAAUUUACCAUUCCAGCGAUCAGACCUCUUCAUAACCAUCGACACACAGCAAUAAUUAAAGCCCGAAUACUGGCGAUCUAACUAUGGGAUAAUCCUUUUCACACUAUGAGUCUAUUAAAGAUUAAAAUGCUCAGGGGUACACACCUGCCAUCCAACCAAUAGUUAGCAGUUAAAUGUUAUACGAGCCAAUGUUAAUAUCUGGAUCUGUUCGAAAGAAAUAAUGCUGUCUAAUAGAUGUCGAAACGAAAAGAAACGUUUCUUAAGGAAACCUUUCGCUUUGACACAACAAAAGGCCUUACUUGUAAAAUGAUCGGCUCAUUAUCAAUCCAUGGAAAUAAGAUUCAUUGACGUAUAGGAUCCAUCAUUCGCAAUUUCGUUAAGAUGGGUGUUCGCUUAUGUAACAAAUGGGAAAAGCCCAAAUAAAUAGCUAAAGUUCUGUCUUAAAUCAAAUACUUUCGGUAAGCUUACAGCAACCUCUUUAAGAGAGGUAAGCUUACAGCAACCUCUGCAAAUACUCAAAAGUAGGAUUAAUAGGAUCCAUCUUUUCAAAAGUGUGUAGCAUCUUAUGAGCUAAAU
rnacentral:rRNA from 1 species